CAUUUUGUCAUGAAAGUACUCUGUCUGAAUGCAUUAUGCAGUCCUUGAAGCACUGUUCAACGUGCUGUUUUCUCGGAGAGAGUCCACUGUGUCUCCAUACAGGAGUUUGAUGGCGCGGACAAGGCGAGCACAGGACCGGCUGUGAUGGAGGUAGCAGUGUGGGUGACAGUAGUCAAUCACACUGACACAGCGCGAGGACUUCAUACUUGGGGCUGCCAUAGAAGAAAUACUGGUGCAUGCACAGAAGCAACAAGAUCCAGUGAUCCUUUUGAGUGGUUUCCUCAUGAUUGUA